GAGUAAUCCUGUCCAAAGCAAGAAUUGACAGGGACUUUGCAGGAAGAAGUAAUGGAAGCCUGUGAUACUGAGUUCCGAAAGAAAACAUCCUUUCUUUUCCCUGAUGCCCAAAUUAGAAUUUUUUGCAGAGCACUGCCAGUCCAUGGGGAGGAGCCCGUAUCUCCACAGAAAGCACUCAGCGUACACCAGUCAGGAACUCAAGGCGCACGUCACAGGUACCCUCGGUUCUAAGGUGCCACCUAAACAGCUUGGGUAUUGCCACUGCAAUUUGCAGCUCCUUCAUUGACAACGAAGGGAAGAGAAGCCCGUUCAGCCUGACAUGUGUCCCUGCUUAGAGUCCGGGAACCUCGCGGUGAAGGCUUCCCAACCUGGGCGCCGAGAAGGACCCCACCACCCAAACCGCGCCAGGCACUGCGCCCGGCACCAGCGCCCCAGCUCCGCGCCGGGUGACGGGAGGUAGUGCCCGGGCGGGCAAGAAGCGGAGGGCACCUACGCGUUGACAAGAGACCCGAGGGCAGGGGGUUGGACCCCAAGAAGGAGAGGUCAGCCCCGUGGUCCUCUUCGCGAGGGGCGCGCAAAGUCAACAUGCGAAGGCAGGCCCCGACCCAGCAGCCCUCGGAGCUCCUGCCCACCACCCAGGGACUCGGCGGAGAGGGCGCAGGCGGCCACGCCUUCCUCCAGCGACCGGGGGAGGCGCGUUCUCCGUCCCCCGAGCAAACCAAAACAAAACCUGAAAGCUAACCAAAAUGCGAAACAGGAAGCGCAUCCCCCCGGGCAGCUCGGCCGCCCGCGCCGGCCGCCCACCCCAUACCUCGCGCGCCCCCGGACAGGUACCUGGCAGCACGGCGUCCUGCUGGUCCCGGGGCUCCGUGCCCCCGGCCUCCGCGGCCUCCGGGGCCUCCGCGGCUUCUGGAGCCUCCGCACCCCGCUCCCCGGCCUCCCCGGCCUCUGGGGCCUCCACGGGCGAGGCAGGCGCGCACCGGGGCGAGGGGUCGGACGCCGGAGAGGCCGAGCCGUCCGAGGCGCCGUCAGGGCCCCAGGAGUCCCACAGCCAGGGCGCGUGCGCCUGCUCCAGCAGCCGGCGGCCCAGGCGGUAGCGCAGCAGCUCGCGGUAGCAGGACGCGUACUGGUCCCAGCGCGGCUCCCGGUAGCGCUUCAUGUACUCGCUUUUCACCCCGCUGCCCGGGGACAUGGUGCAGCGCGCAGCUGGCGACGCGUCGCUCGCGGAACUCACGACACGGAGACCACCCCGCCCGGCCCGGCCCGCCGCUCAGUUCAAACUCGAGCCCCGCCCGGAGGGGGAGGGAGGGGGCGGAGCGGGGGAGGGUGGAGGAGGGGGAGGACGAGGGCGGAGGGGGAGGACGGCGAGGGGGCGGGGUCCGGCGCGGAGCGGGCGGGGCGGCCCCGCGUAGGCGUCCUCUGCCGGGAGAUCCGGGGCGGGGACUGGACGGAGGGUAGGAAAGGCGGAGGCGGCUUGUCCUGGCCAAGCGGGGUGGCGGGCGGAAGCAGCUCCGGGCGAGUGCGGCGUCACCUCCCCUAUCCCGGGUCUCACUCGGGUUGCAGGACGCAGCAACUGGAGCUCGAUCACUAUCGCCGCUCUUCGGCAAGAUGUCGCCGGCGUCCGGGACCCUGCUGCAGCCGGAGGCGAAGGCACCGCCCCACUGGGAGUCGACACCUCCCCGUGCGCCUGGCCCGCGCCCCAGCUUCGGCUCUGGCGGAGGAAGCCCCCCCACACACACCAUUCUCCCGAGAUGGGCCUGGUGUUGAGAGGGACCCAUGCCCAGGAGCCACCCGACCCUCCAAGCUGUGGCCUUGCACGUGUCCCUAAAAAGGCUCCUGGCCUGUCUCUUCCUCUGUGCUCGGAACACCUGUUACUCUGGCUUUCAGCUCAUCUUUCUUUUUGAAUCAACACACUAACGUGUGUUAAAAUACAAAUCAAAACCUUGCUCUCUGCUCAGGGUCGCUUAUGCACACACACACACACACACACACACACACAGCCCUCAACUGAUUUUUCUGUGUCUUGCAGUUAUGUACAAUGUUACUGGCAGUUGUUAGUGUUGAAAGCUGCUGCAUAAUAGUUCUUCCCCUGUUAUAAAAUCAGCUUGAUACAGUUGCUGCAGAAACACUGGAAAGGAAAAAAGAGCCUUGAUAAACAGUUGCUGCAGAAAGAUUGGAAAGGAAAAAUGUUGUGACAGUUCUAGAUAAGGCCCAGCUCUGCAGGGUGGCUGCAUCUCAGGGAUCCAGCACUACCUGCCUCGAAUGUCUCCAAGUUCUGCCCCCAUCUCGGCUGAAAUACCGUGGUGUAUCCUGCCCAGGGGACUGCCCUACUGUCUCUCCUGAGAGCCCAAAGUGACCAGGUCUGGAGGUGUUAGCACCAUUCUUUGCGGGAACGACUCCAGAGACUGAUUUCCCUUCUCCCUAGAAAGCUUCCUUCUCGUCCUUGGCAGUUCUCGGAAACUUUCUCAUGGAAAAGCUGGCUCUUUUGGUUUAUGAUGUUUGCAACCAAAAGAACCUUAUCAAAUACUUAGUAUGGGAAGAAAGGGUGAGGAGCGCCCAUUGAAAAAAUGCACAGCCCAAUGUGUCUUAACUUGCUCCGUGACUCACCAUAGAGCCUAGUGGUGUAAAGCAACUGUAACUCUGAGCUCCUGUGAUUCUGAGGCUGUGCUGGGCUCUCCCUACACUUGUGUUCUGCUGAGGGUGGGGGUUAGCAGGGUUAGCUGUCUGCAUGUGUCACCUCUGCAAAGCAUAUGGCUGCCUACCCUGUGGACCAUCUCAAUGUGCAGAGGUACAAAUAGAUGCCUCAAUGUCUAAACCUCCCUGGAGGUCCAGGCCACUCUUCCAACCUCCUGGCCAUUGUGUUCUUGUUCCCGCGCACCUUGUGAAUACCUCCUGCUCGGUAUCCAUGCCUGCCUUUUCUGAUCCCACCACCACCAAUCUCUUUCUUAAUUCUUAAUCUCUGCUGAUGGCACUUCCAUUCUCCCAGAAACAGGGCCAUCCCAGUGCCGCCUCUGAGGCUGAGGUGUGUGCAUAUGUAGACAAUAUUUCAUGUACCCAUUUCCUUUCUCUCUGCUCCCUCAGUGGGGGGCUGGCUAGAUACAGUAUCCAGAUGGGAAUGUGGUCACAAAUAUCAAAGCUCUUCGUAGAUCUGCUGAGAGCAGAGACCAGAACCAAACCAUGGUCUGCAGCAGGUCAGACCUAACUGAGCAUUCAGGGGCUUGCUGAUUAAAAGCUGAUGGAGAGCUAUACCUGAGAUCCAGGAGUGGAUCUCAAUGCGCAGAGCACUCUGGAGGACCCAGACUGCUAAAUGAGGGCAAAGACAAAGGGCUUAAUAAACAAACCUGCUACAACAAUUCAGCACUGUUUCACUGCCCCUUUCUCCAUUGUUGGCAGCAGACACAGCCAGAAAUUCUCAUAUAAGAGAAUAUACUCGUGGGCCUCCUUUUUUCUGGAGGUGAUGGGGGUCAGGACCAGGGAUUAAAUGGGUCCUUCACAUUGAACUACAUCCCCAGCUCUUCUUUUAUGCUGAUUUGGGGUUUCACUAAGUUGUCCUUCCUGGUCUCUAGUUUGUAGUUCUGCCUCAUCCUCCCAGAAUACAGGGAUUACAGGCAUGCACCACCAUGCCUAGCUCAGAUAAGUACUUUAAUACAGAGAUUUAAACUAGUGUUUGUCUGACUAGGUUAAUCCUAACAUUCAUAGCCUCAUUUCUCCAGGCCAUACUAACCACAAGAAAAACCAAAAGUGUGCAUUGAACAUGGCAUAUUUGGCUUGAGUUCCUACCAAGAAGUCUGAAGAAAUGCCCCCAGCCAGAUGCUAGAACUUCCUUGAUGGCAGAGGCCACAGAAUUGGAAUACAAUCCAUGUACUGUCUCCAUAUAGAAGUCCACUCCUGAGCACAGGGGCUUAUGGAGUCCUUUCAUUUACUGAGGGGUGGUGUUCAAUGUGAGACUCACCAGCCACAAAUCCUGACCUGGGCUCCAGCCCACCUUCUCACUAAGAUGCUACUAAGCCUGGGACUUAGAUGUCUGCCAGCUGAGCCUCUGCCCUUUCCCCCUCACCACCUCUUUUUCCCUGCUAGCACCAGCCCUGAUGGAUUUUAACAUUCUCUGUGCCCAUUGUGCACUGUCCUUCACCCUCCCUCUCUUCUUCCUUUCUGUCUCCAUUUUCUUCCUCCUCCCCUCAUUCCUUCUGCCUGCCUCCUUCCUUUAGAAGGCAGGGAAGUUGCCAUUCUUCCUUUCCUUCUAAAAUUCACAGCACAGAGCCUGGACUUCCUCCAGAACAGUCCCCUUCCCCCUUCCCUGAUGUUCCCAUUCUUGGAACCAUCUAACAAAAAAACAAAAUCUCCCCAAUUACCUUGACUGCUAGAUAAUAAGCUAUUAAAUGAAGAACACUGUGAUCACCAUGGCAAUUUGUCAGAAUGAAGAAUUCUGUGUGCAGUGUUUGGCCUGAGAAAUGCCUACAUUAAAAGCAAACCCAGACUGA